rnacentral:lncRNA from 1 species
GAGGGGUGUUUUCAUAUGAUUCUUUCUUUUUGCUUUCAUCCUUCCCCUCUUUCUUUUUCUCCUUGGGACAUUCGUUAAGGCACAAAGGACUUUUCUCAAUUUUUUUCUCUUCUCUCUCAACUUCUUCCUUUUCUACCUCUUUUUCUUGCUCACUCAAACUUUCCUUUUCGUCUCUCUCUAUUUUUAUCUCUUCCUCUUUCCCC